GGUGAACGCUGGCGGCGUGCUUAACACAUGCAAGUCGAACGAUGAAGCCCAGCUUGCUGGGUGGAUUAGUGGCGAACGGGUGAGUAACACGUGAGUAACCUGCCCUUAACUCUGGGAUAAGCCUGGGAAACUGGGUCUCAUACCGGAUAGGAGCGUCCACCGCAUGGUGGGUGUUGGAAAGAUUUAUCGGUUUUGGAUGGACUCGCGGCCUAUCAGCUUGUUGGUGAGGUAAUGGCUCACCAAGGCGACGACGGGUAGCCGGCCUGAGGGGGUGACCGGCCACACUGGGACUGAGACACGGCCCAGACUCCUACGGGAGGCAGCAGUGGGGAAUAUUGCACAAUGGGCGGAAGCCUGAUGCAGCGACGCCGCGUGAGGGAUGACGGCCUUCGGGUUGUAACCCUCUUUCACUAGGGAAGAAGCGAAAGUGACGGUACCUGCAGAAGAAGCACCGGCUAACUACGUG
rnacentral:rRNA from 1 species